rnacentral:rRNA from 1 species
GAUGAACGCUGGCGGCGUGCCUAAUACAUGCAAGUCGAGCGAACAGACGAGGAGCUUGCUCCUCUGACGUUAGCGGCGGACGGGUGAGUAACACGUGGAUAACCUACCUAUAAGACUGGGAUAACUUCGGGAAACCGGAGCUAAUACCGGAUAAUAUAUUUAACCGCAUGGUUCAAUAGUGAAAGACGGUUUUGCUUUCACUUAUAGAUGGCUCCCCGCCGCAUUAGCUAGUUGGUAAGUUAACGGCUUACCAAGGCAACGAUGCGUAGCCGACCUGAGAGGGGGAUCGGCCACCCUGGAACUGAGACACGGUCCAGACUCCUACGGGAGGCAGCAGUAGGGAAUCUUCCGCAAUGGGCGAAGGCCUGACGGAGCAACGCCGCGUGAGUGAUGAAGGUCUUCGGAUCGUAAAACUCUGUUUUUAGGGAAGAACAAAUGUGUAAGUAACUAUGCACGUCUUGACGGUACCUAAUCAGAAAGCCACGGCUAACUACGUG